GACGAACGCUGGCGGCGUGCCUAAUACAUGCAAGUUGAGCGCUGAAGGUUGGUACUUGUACCAACUGGAUGAGCAGCGAACGGGUGAGUAACGCGUGGGGAAUCUGCCUUUGAGCGGGGGACAACAUUUGGAAACGAAUGCUAAUACCGCAUAAAAACUUUAAACACAAGGUUUAAGUUUGAAAGAUGCAAUUGCAUCACUCAAAGAUGAUCCCGCGUUGUAUUAGCUAGUUGGUGAGGUAAAGGCUCACCAAGGCGAUGAUACAUAGCCGACCUGAGAGGGUGAUCGGCCACAUUGGGACUGAGACACGGCCCAAACUCCUACGGGAGGCAGCAGUAGGGAAUCUUCGGCAAUGGACGAAAGUCUGACCGAGCAACGCCGCGUGAGUGAAGAAGGUUUUCGGAUCGUAAAACUCUGUUGGUAGAGAAGAACGUUGGUGAGAGUGGAAAGCUCAUCAAGUGACGGUAACUACCCAGAAAGGGACGGCUAACUACGUGC
rnacentral:rRNA from 1 species